ACGGGAGGCAGCAGUGGGGGAUAUUGCACAAUGGGGGAAACCCUGAUGCAGCGACGCCGCGUGAGUGAAGAAGUAUUUCGGUAUGUAAAGCUCUAUCAGCAGGGAAGAAAAUGACGGUACCUGACUAAGAAGCUCCGGCUAAAUACGUGCCAGCAGCCGCGGUAAUACGUAGGGGGCAAGCGUUAUCCGGAUUUACUGGGUGUAAAGGGUGCGUAGACGGCUGUGCAAGUCAGAAGUGAAAUCCCGGGGCUUAACCCCGGUGCUGCUUUUGAAACUGUACGGCUAGAGUGCUGGAGGGGCAAGCGGAAUUCCUGGUGUAGCGGUGAAAUGCGUAGAUAUUAGGAAGAACACCAGUGGCGAAGGCGAUCUACUGGACGAUAACUGACGCUGAGGCGCGAAAGCGUGGGGAGCAAACAGGAUUAGAUACCCUGGUA
rnacentral:rRNA from 1 species